GACACGGAGAGUUUGAUCCUGGCUCAGAAUGAACGCUGGCGGCGUGCCUAACACAUGCAAGUCGAACGAGAACGGAAGGCUUCGGCCUUCUCAGUAAAGUGGCGCACGGGUGAGUAACGCGUGGGUAAUCUGCCCUUUGGUUCGGGAUAACGUUUCGAAAGGGGCGCUAAUACCGGAUAAGACCACAUUGGCUUUGGCCGGAGGGGUCAAAGAGGCUUUCGGGCCUUGCCGAGGGAUGAGCCUGCGUGACAUUAGAUUGAUGGUGGGGUAAAGGCCUACCAUAUUGUCAACGAUGUCUAGCUGGUCUGAGAGGAUGAUCAGCCACACUGGGACUGGAACACGGCCCAGACUCCUACGGGAGGCAGCAGUGAGGAAUUUUGCGCAAUGGGGGGAACCCUGACGCAGCAACGCCGCGUGAGUGACGAAGGCCUUUUGGUUGUAAAGCUCUGUCGCCCGGGAAGAAAGGGCCAUUCAGGAAAUGGGGUGGUUUUGACGGUACCGGGAAAGGAAGCACCGGCUAACUCCGUGCCAGCAGCCGCGGUAAUACGGGGGGUGCAAGCGUUAUUCGGAAUCAUUGGGUGUAAAGCGCAUGUAGGCGGUUGGGUGUGUCAGAUGUGAAAGCCCGGGGCUUAACCCCGGAAG
rnacentral:rRNA from 1 species